rnacentral:tRNA from 1 species
GCCCUAGUGGCGGAAUCGGUAGACGCGUCGGACUUAAAAUCCGAUUGGGCGAAUAACUCAGUACCAGUUCAAGUCUGGUCUAGGGCA